GCAGUCAGAGGCGAUGAAGGACGUGCUAAUCUGCGAUAAGCGUCGGUAAGGUGAUAUGAACCGUUAUAACCGGCGAUUUCCGAAUGGGGAAACCCAGUGUGAUUCGUCACACUAUCAUUAACUGAAUUCAUAGGUUAAUGAGGCGAACCGGGGGAACUGAAACAUCUAAGUACCCCGAGGAAAAGAAAUCAACCGAGAUUCCCCCAGUAGCGGCGAGCGAACGGGGAGCAGCCCAGAGCCUGAAUCAGUGUGUGU
rnacentral:rRNA from 1 species